ACUCCGAGUUUAUCCUUUAUUAAUGAGGCACCGAGUGCCCCGCUGUUUUAGAGCAGCGAGACUUUCAUAAUAUCAAAACCUAAAUUACACUUGCGUCUCUCAUCCCAGGGACGAGCAUCUUUCGGCUCCGUUUGCAGAGUGAGUAAGCAGGGAUCCCUCCCCGCCUGCCUGGCAUUUAUUGGCACCUUUCUUCUGACUGGAGGGAGGGAGGGAGGAUGUACACACACACACACACACACACACACACACACACACACACACACACACACACGCCUUGAGUCCUCCAGAGAGCUCCACAUCUAAAGCCUUGGAGCCCACGGUGUGACGCUGCCUGGGAUGCCAGCCUUCAUUCCGAAGUGUGCAGAGUUUACAGGAUCAAGGGGUCACUCCGGGCCCUGGGGUGUGGAGGUGUGGGAUGGUCAGCAGACGCCUACAAGCUCUGUGAGCAGGUUACUCCCUGUCUCUUAGCUUCAGUUCGCCAUGUGCAAAAUGGGGAUGAUAAUAGCUUCCUCCCAGGACGGUUGUGAGGACUCAGUUAAUGGGUCAUAGGCAAGGUUGGUGCAUAGCAAGUCCUUGGUAAAUUUGCGCUGUGAUGGUGACAGUGACAUUUAGCCCCCUCUUUGGAAUGGGACCCCAGUGUCUUUCAUUCCUGGAACACACUACAUGUAGGGCCACAGAGGAGAACCCAGGUCCUGCAAUGACAGGGAGAUACCAGGGCUCAUCUUACCCCAGCACAGGCAAGACCUGACCGCCUAGUGCCCCCAGCCCCCCAACCCUGAGCUCAGCUGGGGCAAGGAGCCUGGACCCUCUUGGCCCCCUGACUCUCCAGGUCCAAGGCUCUUCUAGGACCCCUUGGGGAUUGUGCCUACCCUGCCCCAGCCCUGGGCCAAACAAACUAGCUGGGCAGGUGGGCAGGCAGGUGCUGUGUGGGUAGGAUUUACAGCCUGGCCGGCCAAGCUCCUGGUGCUCCGGUGGGCGUCAUGUCAAAUCUGUCCCAUUAUAUGGACAGUUGAGUUUAAUAGUCAUUGUGUGCUCUCUCAGAGCCCAGCAAACAUCGCGGGGUGACACCCCCUCCACGCGAGCAGCCCGCUCCCCAGCCACACGGCCCAUCCGUACAGUAAAUUAAAAAUAUGAAUCACUUCUCCCCACUGCCUCCCCAAACGCUCAUCUUGUCAGCCUCUAUGUUGCCUUCAUUUGUAUUACCUUAAUUUAAUGUUAAUUAUGGUCUUCAUUUACAAAGAACAAGCGAGCCCUGCUCUGCCAGGGGACCUUCCCCGCACCCCCUCCCCCUCAGCCCAGGAGGGAGAGGCUGGGGGAGAAGAGGAAUUCGGGGGGCUACGAAGGAGUAAGGAAAGGGGUUGGAAGAGGGUGGGAGAUAAGAUCUGGGCCAUCUGUGGCUAAUGGGCCCUUAGGGAGGGACUAGGAAGGACCCCCCCACACACACCCUGUCUUCAAUCAUUUAUUUAUUCAACAGCUAUUUAUUGAGCACCUAAUAAGUGCUAGAUAACCAGGAAAUAGAAAGAUAAGGGAGGGGGGGUCUUCCUCCCUAAUAAGGGCUAAUGGAGUCCCCUCUGCCUUCCUGAAGUGAAUUGCUGGAAGCAGCAUCAGGAAGACAUGUCAUUCCUGCCCCAGGUGGGCUGGUACCUGACCCAGCCCAAAGGGCACAGGACACAGGCAAGAGAGCUUCCCAAGCCCCUGUCUUGGCUCCUGGUGCCAUCCGUACCCCAAGCUGCUUCGUACUCUUUCCAGCAGGAAGUUCUUUCUGAAGUCUUUCCUGAGUCCCUCUUGCUGCAGAUCAUUCCAGGCUUAGCACCUGAGUGGGGUCAGGAGUGGAAAGGUGACACCCAGGCUACACCAUCUCUGGAGGGCUGGGAGGAAGGCAUUAUGGGGAUCAGCACCCCACUAUUAACCACUCCAUCAACUCUACCAUCCCAUGACCUCAACACCCAGCCCUGCUGACUUGCCCAAAGUCCUGUGUCUGAGGUGCCUGGGAGGUCUGAGUGUGACCGUUUGGCUGUCCCUGUGCUGCCACACUCUGCCAAUGGGACACACAGUCACAGGAAAGCGUGUAGAACCUUGGGGCGGGGGGGAGGGGGGUUCAUGUCACACGUGUGCACACAGGGAGCUGGCAGAGGGCCACCUGCACUCAAGCUGCCAUUAACCACAGACACCAGCCCCUCCCCCCAGCACGCGUCUCCUCAACUGGGGAAGAGGAUCUCCAGCUGGGAAUAUCUGCUUGACAGAUGAGGCUGUUCUGAGUGUGUGUCUGCGUGUGUGUCCGUCUCCAGGGAGCUUUGAUCCACACGCAGGGACAUGUGUCCCCUCAGGUUCGAUGUGCCCCCUCAGGUUCCGUGUGCCUGUGUGUAUGUGCAGGAGCGUGUGUCCAGCAGGCCCACGUGCAUGUGUACACGCCUGUGCUCCUGCCCGCUACCGCCACCCCCCCUCUGCCUGUCAGCGGCACUGAUGACAUUGGCGCAGAGGAAAGUGAUGACAAAUGCCCGUUAUCAGCGAACGAGGCCGAUGACAAAUGGGUGGGCGCCCGAGCAGCCCCAUUACGCUGUAAUAACAGAAGAUGGAUGGCCUGGCGCCCCCCCCACCACCCCUACCCCUCUGCGCCGGUAACGGGAUCCGGCUCCGCCCGCCCGGGAGGGAGCCGAGCCGCCCGCCUGGCCGCCAAUCACGGCGGGGCCGAGAAGCCCAGGCCGUGGAGCCAGGAGCCCACGCGGCCGCCCGCGGCGGAGGAACAAAGCGGCGCGCUCGGCGGGAGCAGAAGGCGCACGGGGAGUCCAGCCCGCCUGCGGCCAGGACACGCAGCUGUGCACACACAUGGCCGACGCACGCGCCUGCCGCCUGUGUCCUUGCACCGUGCACCUGCAGCUCCUGUCCAGGCACAACCCCCACCUCACGGGAGCACGGACACGUGCUUUCAUACCGUGCAUGGGCAUACAUCUGCCCCCAGAUCCAGGUACACACCCACCCACAUAAACCCAUGCACACACGGCAGUUCGUGCACGCGCCUACAGAAACCACUAAUGUUUGUGCACAUGAAUGCUGCCAGCAUGUCUGCACGUGGAUGGAUACGGAAAUAUGCACACACAUAAGCAAAAAUGCUUGUACAUGGAUACCAACCCUUACACUCCGUUCUGUGCACACAAUUCAGGGCCUCCAAACACCCCCACAUCCACAUGCCAAAGAUGCCCACAGCUGCAUCAACAAAUAUUAACCACACACAUGUCAGCUAGGUGCUGUGGAGUAACAGUGAUGAAUGUGACACCAUUCCUGGCUUCUAGAAUUUUAAGUCGGCUAUGGGGGCAGACAAAUGGCUGGGAGUGAAGGCAGAAGAUGAUUUGUGUUUUGACCCAAGUACGUAGUCUGUGAUGUGAGAUUUCAAACUGGAACAUCAGCAAAGUCUUCCUGGAGGAGGUGAUUAAAGGAAGAGGAAAUUUUCAAAAGGAAUUGAAUUUCGGAAAAAAAAAAAAAAGUAUGGAAAUGGAAUUGGAAAGUGUAGCAAGUGUUUGGGACCAAGAUACCCAAGGGGCCAAUAGUCCAGGCAAAUAGUGUUGGGUGAGUGCGGGAGGAGAGAAACUUCCCAGACUGGGGCCACGAGGCUGAGCUGGGAAGGGGCUGGGGCAGAUCCACGUGAGAGACCCAGGAGGCCUGAGCUAGCUCCUGAUGUGGGAAAGGAGAGGACCAGGAGGUCAGUAGAUGGAACAGUAGUAAGUGGAUGAAGAGUGCCAGGCAGGGCCAACUCCCUGGGUGUGUGACCUGGGCAGUCCCAUUGGGCCCUGUGUUUAGAAGAGCCCUGUGCUUGCUCUGUCUUAAAAUUCUUUACGUUUUAUAAUAAGAAGGCUUUUCAUAUGGCACUGAACCCUGAAAAUGAUAUAGCCAGUCCUAGAAUUAGGGAUCUAUCAGGUUGAUCCAGUAAGACAGAAGGAGCAGGUUUAGGGGGAGAAGAUGGUGAGUUCGGGGGGCCAGGGGUAUAUGAGAGUCUGGAUGUGGAGUGAGGAGUUGAGGUGAUGGGUAAAGAUUUAGUAUAUCCCUCCCCGGAAUGGGAGUUGGUGCCCUGCUUAUGCCUUGGCCGAUGCUUGUUUCUGCUCCACAGGGAGUCCAUGCACUGCCACAUUGUCAUAGGGCUGCCUCCAAAAACAUGUCUGUGUACUUCCUUGCUGGAAUAUAAGCUCUCCAGUGUUGCCCCUAUGUCUCCAGGGCAUGGCAUACAGUUGCCACACAACACCCGUUAAAGGUGUGUUGGACUAAGGACUAAAGGUGUGUGAAGGACUAAGUGAAGGAGCACACGCGGUCCACAUAUGUACACACUCUGGGCAUCUGGUCCCCCACCAUGGGGAGGAGUACAUGCAGGCCUGCAUAUGGCCCCCCUAUCCCAUUGCCACUGUCCUCUAUCUCCUCCCGGGUUGUUCUGUCACCCUGUGUCUACUUUACAGAAAGAAUGCCCUUGUCCCAGGGCUCCCUCAUUGGGUAUUUCCUUUGUAGACAGAGUUGGGCAAAGGUUAAUUAGUGAGCCCAGGACCCUGGGGUGAUGGGCAGGGAGAGGCUGUGAUUUGGAGCCAGAGGAUCUGAAUUGAAGUCUCAGCUCCUCUCUCUGAGCUUUAACUCUUCAUCCACAAAAUGGGACUAUAAAAUGGAAAAGCAUUUACAUCAGCACCUUGAUGCCGACAGAGCUAAUUAGGGGAGAUAUAGUCAAACAGGUCGGGUACUGAGAGAGCUGCUUCCUUCCCCCUCAGCUCUGGGUUCCCAGGGGUGUCAAAAAUAGACUGAGGGUCCUGAGGAUGAGACAGGUGACGUCAAACAGGGGAGGGGAGCUGGCCGACUGGAAGAAGAAUGCUUUCGUCUUCUCUCAAUAGGAGCCAGAGGAUCUGGGAGCUGAGACUCAGGCCCUGCCUCCCACAGCCCACCUGCAAGCAGGGACACAUAAGAGGCAGAGCAAAUAUGAGGUGCCCUCCAGGACUAAAGGAAGCAUUCUAAACUUGGGUAGCUUGGGAAGGGGGAAGCAGAGGACAUCUCCAGAGAUAUGGACCAAGAGAGAAAGCCAGUGGGGGUGGGCGGAGGGUUCCUCCUUAUUUCUCUCCCAGGAUGCCCUGUCUUCUGUCCCACAGGGACUCCACCUGCUAACUUUGUCUUCCUGAUAUGUGACUUUCUCCAGGCUACAGAAUGGGGGCGGGGGAGUAUUUCCAGGAGGCCCCUCUGGUCUCCCUCACCCUCAUGUGACCCACUUCAGGUUUCUCCAGUAGGUGCUGGUCCCUGCCUCCACCUCCCCUCUCAGCUGUGCUAACCAUCACCUCUCAGACCCGGUCAAGAGGCUCUCGGAAAGCGCCCCCUAAGGGGCCUGUAGCAAGAGGCACCGGGAUUAGAAGAUGCCCGGAGGAAAGAGAUGGGCUGGUUAAUGGGCCUCGUUCCUCCUCCUUUACCAGUUCACUUUUUCUCUAGCGUUAUUGACCCGUCAUUAGUUAUCCUUCCAAGGUCGCUGGGCCUGGCCCAGCUAUAAAUCACGGCGGCUGGAGGGGGGCUGCCGGCCAGGCCAUGGUUCCCGAGAUACAGCGGAGAACUCAGCGCCCAGAACAGGUCGGAGGAGGUGCAGAUGGCCCUGUCACAGGGGAGCUUCCGCGGAGAGGGCUAAGCCCCUCUUGGUGCCCAUCCACCCACCUCUCCCUCCCGCCUCCACUCUCCCUUUCCAUUUGCUUCUCCAGCGCCACCUCUUCUUCCAUUACUCACUUUUUUCACACACAUACACACCCCCUUUUUUUUUCUUGUGGAGUGCAGCGAUUGGAGAGGUGGGGGACGGGGGAAGCGGUCGACUCACUCCACCUGGUCUCCCCGUUUAGAGCUUUCAGGAGCAAGGACAGAACUCACGCAGGGGGAACCUGAGGCACAGAACUUCGACCAGAAGUGAGUCUGAGGAAGGGGUCCCACCCGAUUCAGCACCAGGGUCACCACUCCUGAAACUGCAGAUCCCAUUCUUCAGCCUGGUGAUGGAGAAGGUCAUCACCCAGGGAGAGGCGCGCCAGGACACGUCCUCAUCGGCCGCCUCCUUCUAAGGAGCGAGGGGCUGCGUAGUCCGGACCCUUCCAGCCCCAGUCCCCACCCCCGAGCUACAAGGGAGGUCCCUGGGCGGUUCCUCCCCGGCACUUGCCGCCCUCUGUACCAUGCCCCCUAUCCCGGGCCUUUGCAAGCUCCUCUUGUCUG
rnacentral:lncRNA from 1 species